rnacentral:rRNA from 1 species
UACGUAGGGUGCGAGCGUUAAUCGGAAUUACUGGGCGUAAAGCGUGCGCAGGCGGUUCGUUGUGUCCGUCGUGAAGCCCGGGCUUAACCUGGGAACUGCGAUGGAAACUAGCGAGCUGGAGUGUGGCAGAGGGGGGUGGAAUUCCGCGUGUAGCAGUGAAAUGCGUAGAGAUGCGGAGGAACACCGAUGGCGAAGGCAGCCCCUGGGCUAACACUGACGCUCAGGCACGAAGCGUGGGAGCAAACAGG